rnacentral:rRNA from 1 species
UACGUAGGGUGCGAGCGUUGUCCGGAAUUAUUGGGCGUAAAGAGCUCGUAGGCGGCUUGUCACGUCGGGUGUGAAAGCCCGGGGCUUAACCCCGGGUCUGCAUUCGAUACGGGCAGGCUAGAGUGUGGUAGGGGAGAUCGGAAUUCCUGGUGUAGCGGUGAAAUGCGCAGAUAUCAGGAGGAACACCGGUGGCGAAGGCGGGUCUCUGGGCCGAUACUGACGCUGAGGAGCGAAAGCGUGGGGAGCGAACAGG